rnacentral:rRNA from 1 species
AUAUUAAAGUAGUAAUAGAUAUAGUCUUUAAACUUAAAGAAUUUGGCGGUAUUUUAAUCUUUUUAGAGGAACUUGUUCUAUAAUCGAUAAUCCUCGUAAAAUUUCACUAAGUUUAAAUAUUUAUAUAUCGUUGUCGAAAAAAUAUUUUUAUAAAAAUUUAAUUUUUAAAUAUUAGGAUUUUAAUAGAUGUCAAAUCAAGGUGUAGUUAAUAAUUUAGUAGAAAUGAGUUACAAUAAAAUUAUUUAAAUGGAAUUUUUAUUGAAAAUAUAAAAGUGAAAGUGGAUUUAAAUGUAAAUUAAUUUUAAAAAGUUUAAUUGAUUAAAGUUCUAAAAUAUGU